CCCCUAGACGUUCUGGGCUGCACGCGCGCUACAAUAAUACGCACAGCGAGUAUCACCGAGCUCGAAAGGACAAGGUAAACAAUAGAAAAGGUACUGUAAUGGUUAUAGAUCCUUGUAAUUAUUGAUCUUCAACGAGGAAUUCCUAGUAAGUAUGUGUCAUCAUCACGCACUGAUUACGUCCCUGCCCUUUGUACACACCGCCCGUCGCUCCUACCGAUUGAGUGAGCCGAUGAAACUGCCGGAUGUGGACUAUUCAUAGUCUGCAGAAGAUAUUUGAAUCGUAGCGCUUAGAGGAAGGAGAAGUCGUAACA
rnacentral:rRNA from 1 species